GACGAACGCUGGCGGCGUGCUUAACACAUGCAAGUCGAACGGAAAGGCCCUGCUUUUGUGGGGUGCUCGAGUGGCGAACGGGUGAGUAACACGUGAGUAACCUGCCCUUGACUUUGGGAUAACUUCAGGAAACUGGGGCUAAUACCGGAUAGGAGCUCCUGCUGCAUGGUGGGGGUUGGAAAGUUUCGGCGGUUGGGGAUGGACUCGCGGCUUAUCAGCUUGUUGGUGGGGUAGUGGCUUACCAAGGCUUUGACGGGUAGCCGGCCUGAGAGGGUGACCGGCCACAGUGGGAGUGAGAUAACGGCCCGACUCCCACGGGAGGGAGGAGGGGGGGAUAGUGGAAAAAGGGCGGAAGGCGGAAGGAGCAACGCCGGGUGGGGGAUGACGGGCUUUGGGGUGGAAAACGCUUUUGCCGGGGAAGGAGGGGGGGUGACGGUAAUGGGGAAAGAAGCCACGGCUAACUACGUG
rnacentral:rRNA from 1 species